rnacentral:lncRNA from 1 species
GAGGCGCGCAGGAACUGCGGCUUGGCUGCGACCUCCUCCUGGAGGCGCGCAGGAACUGCGGCUGGCGCGACCUCCUCCUGGGGGCCGGCGGGCGCUACGGCUCCACGGGUGACGGGGACUGGAACGACCGCUACAGGGCCGACAGGAACGGGGACUGGAACGACCGCUACAGGGUCGACAGGAACGGGGACUGGAACGACCGCUACAGGGUCGACAGGAACGGGGACUGGAACGACCGCUACAGGGUCGACAGGAACGGGGACUGGAACGACCGCUACAGGGUCGACAGGAACGGGGACUGGAACGACCGCUACAGGGUCGACAGGAACGGGGACUGGAACGACCGCUACAGGGCCGACAGGAACGGGGACUGGAACGACCGCUACAGGGCCGGCAGGAACGGGGACUGGAACGACCGCUACAGGGUCGGCAGGAACGGGGUCAGAGACAGGGGUGACCUCUACUUGGCCUACGGGAACGCCCUCAACUUGGCCUACGGGAACGCCCUCAACUUGGCCUACGGGAACGCCCUCAACUUGGCCUACGGGAACGCCCUCAACUUGGCCUACGGGAACGCCCUCAACUUGGCCUACGGGAACGCCCUCAACUUGGCCUACGGGAACAGGAACUGGAACGACCUCAAUUUGGUCGACAGGGACAGGAACUGGAACGACCUCGACAUGGUCGACAGGGACAGGAACUGGAACGACCUCGACAUGGCCGACAGGGACAGGAACUGGAACGACCUCGACAUGGCCGACAGGGACAGGAACUGGAACGACCUCGACAUGGCCGACAGGGACAGGAACUGGAACGACCUCGACAUGGCCGACAGGGACAGGAACGACCUCGACAUGGCCGACAGGAACAGGAACUGGAACGACCUCAACAUGGCCGACAGGAACUGGAACGACCUCAACAUGGCCGACAGGAACUGGAACGACCUCAACAUGGCCGACAGAAACUGGAACGACCUCAACAUGGCCGACAGAAACUGGAACGACCUCAACAUGGCCGACAGGAACUGGAACGACCUCAACAUGGCCGACAGGAACUGGAACGGCCUCUACAGGGCCGACAGGAACUGGAACGGCCUCUACAGGGCCGACAGGAACAGGAACGGCCUCUACAGGGCCGACAGGAACAGGAACGACCUCAACAUGGCCGACAGGAACUAGAACGGCGUCCUCCUCUGAGGAGCCGACAGGAACUGGAACUAGAACGGCCUCAACAUGGCCGACGGGAACAGGAACGGCGUCCUCCUCUGAGGAGCCGACAGGAACUGGAACUAGAACGGCCUCAAUAUGGCCGACGGGAACAGGAACGGCGUCCUCCUCUGAGGAGCCGACAGGAACUAGAACGGCGUCCUCCUCUGAGGAGCCGACAGGAACUAGAACGGCCGCAACAUGGCCGACAGGAGCUGGAACGGCCGCAACAUGGCCGACAGGGACUGGAACGGCGUCAACUCCGGAGCUGGCAUGA